GUCCAGGCGCGGGAAUCGAACCCACGACCUUCCGCUUACCGGGCAGAUGCCAUGUCCACUAGGCUACCCUGGA